CAGCUAGUUGGUAGGGUAAGAGCCUACCAAGGCAGAGAUCGGUAGCCGGCCUGAGAGGGCACACGGCCACACUGGCACUGAAACACGGGCCAGACUCCUACGGGAGGCAGCAGUGGGGAAUCUUGCACAAUGGGGGCAACCCUGAUGCAGCGACGCCGCGUGAGCGAUGAAGCCCUUCGGGGUGUAAAGCUCUUUUGGCGGGGACGAUGAUGACGGUACCCGCAGAAUAAGCCCCGGCUAACUUCGUGCCAGCAGCCGCGGUAAUACGAAGGGGGCUAGCGUUGUUCGGAAUUACUGGGCGUAAAGGGUGCAUAGGCGGCUUUACAAGUUGGGUGUGAAAGCCCAGGGCUCAACCCUGGAAUUGCAUUCAAUACUGUUUUGCUUGAAUUCGGUAGAGGUUGGUGGAAUUCCCAGUGUAGAGGUGAAAUUCGUAGAGAUUGGGAAGAACACCCGUGGCGAAGGCGGCCAACUGGACCGACAUUGACGCUGAGGCACGAAAGCGUGGGGAUCAAACAGGAUUAGAUACCCUGGUAGUCCACGCUGUAAACGAUGCAUGCUAGACGUUGGAGGGCUUAGCUCUCUUGUGUCGCAGCUAACGC
rnacentral:rRNA from 1 species